rnacentral:rRNA from 1 species
UACGUAGGGCGCAAGCGUUAUCCGGAAUUAUUGGGCGUAAAGAGCUCGUAGGCGGUUUGUCGCGUCUGCCGUGAAAGUCCGGGGCUCAACUCCGGAUCUGCGGUGGGUACGGGCAGACUAGAGUGAUGUAGGGGAGACUGGAAUUCCUGGUGUAGCGGUGAAGUGCGCAGAUAUCAGGAGGAACACCGGUGGCGAAGGCGGGUCUCUGGGCCGAUACUGACGCUGAGGAGCGAAAGCGUGGGGAGCGAACAGG